GUGAUGAGAACAGAAGAACCACAGGGAGCUGAAGCGUUAGCAAUAACCCUUGGUGUUAUCGGUGGGAUAGUAGGUGUUAUCCUGAUAGUAAUUGCUUCUUGGUUCAUCACUAAAAGAAGAUCCAGUUCCAAGCUUGAAAUAGCAGCCCUCCAAAAUCACAUGGAAAACCCAGCUUAUGACCCAGAUGGAAUAGGUGGAGAUAUUGUAUUAAGAGACAUGGAAAAGAAACCAGUAGAUAUCGAACCACGUUACCAGUCUUUCGCUCCAGUAGUGAAUCCAGAUGAAGGCUUUGAAAAUCCUAUGUAUGCAAGCAUGAUGUCACCGGAUCAAUCUAUCAUCUAAUUCAUCAAAAGAUACACACAUUUUUCUAAGGUUUACCAAUUUAACUCCUUAAAUUGGUAACGAUGAACAUUAUUUUUUACCCAGUUCUAUGAAAUAUAACGCAAGUCAGAAUGAAUAACAAUUACAAAAUUUCAAUUGGAAUUUUCAGCAAGUUUUUGUAUGAUGUUGUUAAUGAUAAGUUUCGAUCAAGCUGCAUUUAUUUACAACCCUGCAUUGUUCACAGACUUGAAAUUUCAUAAUUCCUUUUUCUUAAGAGUGCAUUUUUCUUUUUCAACCAUAUUUCAUAUUAGGUAAUGUAGUACCUAGUGAUCAGACAUCAUGAAAUACAUUUAUAUAUAACAGGAAAAUAUUGACCUUCAAGAGGCAUUCCAAGUGAUACAUUUGUUCUUUCAUUUUGUUCUCUUUUUGCUAAACAUGUUGACUGAAAAUAUAAGUAAGCAAAUCAAAUUGUAUAUGGCAUGAAUUGAAUGUUACUGAAGAGGAUGAAAGCUGUAAAGUUAAGAGAAAUAGAUAUAUGACAGGCAAAAUCUCACCCAACAAGGAGUUGACCAGGGUAAAAAAGGUCAAAAUAAUAAAAAAUAUUAUUUGAUGGAAAAUGAAAAUUUACGUCAUUUCAAGUUUUUGUUCUUUUUCGCAUGGCAAAGAUAUCUGUAUCAAAGGUAAUAUAUUAUACCCCUUUCAUAAACCCAAUUAUGCGGCUUAAAGCGGCAUAAUUUGGUCAUAAAAUCGGAGGAGGACCAGAGUUAUCCGCAUAAUAGCAGCAUCGGGACCAGAUUUUGACUUUAUGAACGC